UGGGGAAUUUUGGACAAUGGGCGAAAGCCUGAUCCAGCCAUGCCGCGUGCAGGAUGAAGGCCUUCGGGUUGUAAACUGCUUUUGUACGGAACGAAAAGACUCCUUCUAAUAAAGGGGGUCCAUGACGGUACCGUAAGAAUAAGCACCGGCUAACUACGUGCCAGCAGCCGCGGUAAUACGUAGGGUGCAAGCGUUAAUCGGAAUUACUGGGCGUAAAGCGUGCGCAGGCGGUUAUGUAAGACAGAUGUGAAAUCCCCGGGCUCAACCUGGGAACUGCAUUUGUGACUGCAUAGCUAGAGUAAGGUAGAGGGGGAUGGAAUUCCGCGUGUAGCAGUGAAAUGCGUAGAGAUGCGGAGGAACACCGAGGGCGAAGGCAAUCCCCUGGGCCUGCACUGACGCUCAUGCACGAAAGCGUGGGGAGCAAA
rnacentral:rRNA from 1 species